AAUUUAUAAAAUGUAUAAAUGUUAUAUUUAAAACAAUAUUUCAAUAAUGUACACAUAAAUUUGUGAAUGUUACUUUGAAUGAAAUUUACGACUUUUUGUGAAUGUUACAAGUGCUCCUUCAAAAAUAUGUUCGCAUAGCAAGUAAUAUGGUGGUGGGACAGUGAGCCAGAAGUGGUGGUCCAAUAUUGGGAAAUCGGGUUAAAAUAACCCAAAGCAGCCUUUACCUCUGUAAAUAUAAAUAACAACAUUUCCUGCUGAUUCAGAUCAACAUGAGGAAUCAGAUGUAUGAGGAGAAAGAUAAAAGAUCCAGAUGUCCUCCUGAUGUCACAGAGAGAAGUGCUUGUGAAACUGUCUGAACUGGCUUUCAAACAGCUGAUGAAGGGUAACGUGAUGUUUUAUGAGGAAGACCUGAAAGAGUGCGGCAUUGACCGAGGUCUCUGUGUAUUCUGGGAUCUGCACCGAGAUCUUUGAGGAAUCAGUGACUCUUCCAAGGCUUCUUGACACACACGGAAGAAAGCUCAAAGAGUCUUGAGAACGUGAUCCAGAACCUUAAAUGGGUUCAUAAAAACAACGUCAGCCCAGAGAGAUGGAUAAUUGAUCAAAUAGAUGGAUCAAAAUUGAAGAUAAAAAAAUGAAGCACAAUUCAGUUGUAGAAGAAAUACACAUGUUUUUACAAUCAAAAAUAAAACGUGUCUGUUACACAGUGUUUGGCUUUGGCGACUAUGACCAGUUGUCAGAGAAGAGGCUGGAGGAGUUUAACAUUAAAUCAAGGGAUGGUCGCGACUCGAGAGGCGGCUGGUGCCAGCGGUGUGGAACUGCAGAAACGCUGUGUUCAGAUUGCUGAGCUGUAACCUCGCUAACAAGAGUUAUGAAAUGUUGACAUCAGCUCUACAAUCCUCAAUCUCCUCUGAGAGAGCUGGACCUGAGUGACAGCGAUCUGCAGGAUUCAGGAGUGAAGCUCAUCUCUGAUGGACUGAAGAGCUCAAGCUGUCGACUAGAGAUACUGAGAUUAUCUGGCUGUAUGGUGACAGAGGAAGGCUGUGGUUAUCUGGUUUCAGCUCUGAAUACAAACCCGUCCCAUCUGAGAGAGUUGGACCUGAGCUACAAUCACCCCGGGACCCU